UCGUAUUUAAUUUGUAAUUGAAGUAAGUAAUACAAAGAAAACUAAACGUAAUUGAAAAUAGAUGAAAAUGAUGCGUGAGUCAUUUAGAGGAUGUGUCAAUCUAUUUACUAACCCUCCUCUUCAUAAACCUCAAUACUCAUCAUCAGGAAUCAUCAUCCUUCACUUUCUCUUGCAGAGAACUAAAAUUACUUCUAUAGAGAUAUCAUCACCAUCUUAUGGAAUCACGAAACUACUCCAAAACACACCAAAAUAAAGAAUUCAACUCGAAUUGCUUUGAUUAUCAAAAGCCCUGAGUUAUUAGAAGCAAAUUGAUUAAGUAUCAUCAAGUUCCAAUCAUCACUAAGGUUAGGGUUUAUAUCAAUUCAAGUGUAAAAUUUGGGUUAAUUGAAAAAACGAGAACUAGCUAGGAUUCAGCUAUCAAGAUCAAAUUGGGGAUUUUGUGACUCAAAUUAAAGUUCAAGAUUGAAAGUUAGAAGGUUCUUCAAUGGUGAUUAAAGAUUAUGUUGAAGUUAGCUAGUUCACCCAUGUCUUUUGAAGCUUAUAUGUGUGUUCUUCAAUGGUGAUUGAGCUAUCGAGCCACAGGUCAGAUUCAGCCCAGACUUCUAUAAGUUUUCCACUGUGAUUUGUAGACAGUAUUAUUAUACUGUUUAUGCUGGUUUGGGUUGUUUCCUAUAGUUUGAUUUUUAACAUGUUAGGGAUUUUCUAGGAAAACACUCCUUUAAAUUGGUAUUAUUCAUGGUUAAUCAAUAGUUGGUAUUAUCAUAGGAAAAUUAACAAAAUGUUGUAUUAUUCACGGUAUUUCAUAUAUUCAAUUUGAAAAAAUGAUAUGCAA